rnacentral:rRNA from 1 species
UACGUAGGGUGCGAGCGUUGUCCGGAGUUACUGGGCGUAAAGGGUGCGCAGGCGGCCUUGCGCGUCGCGAGUGAAAUCUCCCGGCUCAACUGGGAGGGUGGUCGCGAGACGGCAGGGCUUGAGGCUCGGUGAGGGGCGUGGAAUUCCGGGUGGAGCGGUGAAAUGCGUAGAGAUCGGAAAGAACACCAACGGCGAAAGCACUCUGCUGGGCCGACACUGACACUGAGAGACGAAAGCUAGGGGAGCGAAUGGG